rnacentral:rRNA from 1 species
UUGAUUACGUCCCUGCCCUUUGUACACACCGCCCGUCGCUGCCCGGGACUGAGCCAUUUCGAGAAACUCGGGGAUUGUUAGGCUUUGCGGCUUUCGGGUCGAACUGCCGAUGAGAACCGAUUUAAUCGCAGUGGCUUGAACCGGGCAAAAGUCGUAACAAGGUAGCUGUAGGUGAACCUGCUGCUGGAUCAUUACCCACCUGAUCAUAUACUACCUAACACUUGUUGUAGCCGGCUGGAGUUGGCAUGAAUGCCCAAAUGGCUUGACGACCCGAGAGGUCCGAGAGCUGCAGGCCUUCUCCGAUGGUUUGCAACGCCCUGUGGGCUUGCACACAGGUUGGGGUGCUUACUUGGUGCAUAGUGGCGCACACAUCCCUCUCGGCUANAGGGGCGAUGAGACCAGGCGGAAAGCUGCGCUAUGUGCUGGGAGGCACGCCCCAGGGGCACGAACGGUGUCGUUGGCGUCUAUGCGUUGUUGAGCAGUUGUUGGCACUUGYUGUGKUCGAAGGYUUACUGACAUGGUUAUUGCGGYACCUUGUGAUUGCCUCCAUGUCCUGCCAAUGAGCARSUGGGGAAUGUAUGGCUUUUGAMCAUGCUCUUUGUGUGCUACGUCCGUGGCUGUGAUGAGACGAACGCGGGAGGGUCUGGCCAUGCGCCCGGUCAGGCCCAGACUUGAUGAGCCCCUUGCACGUUGGCCGCCAACAAACCCUUUUUUUCAAUACAUUUUUUCAGUCGGCACUUUGUGCUGCAAUAGUAAAAUUCUAGUCUUAUCGGUGGAUCACUCGGCUCGUAGGUCGAUGAAGAACGCAGCCAACUGCGAUAAGUAGUGUGAACUGCAGAAACCUUGAACACAGAACAUUCGAAUGCACAUUGCGCCAUUGGAGAUACAUCCUUUGGCACGCCUGGUUCAGGGUCGUAACCCUAAAAAGCACAGCGUGUGCUUGUCAGUUGCGCGAUCAACAGGUGAGACCAUACCGUUGUUCGUGCAUUGGUGUUUGGUGCGCCCGUACAGUGAGGAGUCGCGCUGGCAUGGACUUUGAUUGCAAUUCGUUUGCGUCCAUGUUCUGCCAAUGAGCAGCCAGGGUGUGACUUUUGCUUGUAUUGGGUGGCGAACUUUUGAAAGCGAAAUCAACAUUUCGACCUGAACUCAGACGUGAUCACCCGCUGAACUUAAGCAUAUCAUUUAGCGGAGGA